AAAGCUAGGGAGAACAUUAAAAGUAAUUUUUAAAAAUGUUUUGAAAAAUCAAAAAACCUAAUUUAUUAAUUUUCCUCAAUCUUAAGUCCAAAGUGAAUAACAAACAUUUUUAUAAAAAAAAAAUAAAAAAUAAAUAAUAUACAUCAAACUACGUAAUGUACAUUUUACACCGUAUGGCUAACUCGAUUGACGCAUUGAUGUCCACACUCGCCUAAGUACACAAAUAUAUUGUCUAACAUGCCGGCAUGUAUAGAACCCCCCCCCCCCCUCACACGUUUUAAUAUUCACCCUCAACCCACAAACGAUGCAUAUAAAAAACACAUGUUUAGACUCGAAUUACCCAACACGUACAAAUAACUCAAAACAAGCAUACAAAAUUAACACUGUUUACACUUUACCAAUUUAUAUUAUAUUAUUAACCAACACUAGGAUGUAUGUAUAAUCAAAACAUAAAUGCUUAAUAAAGCUCACAAUUAACCACACACACACUCGUACUACUCAAAGAGACGACGUAUGCUUAACACCCACUAUGCAUACACUCGUACUACCCAACACUACGAUGCAUGCAUAACUCAACAAAGGCACAUUAUCGUAUUAACCAACAAAACACAAAUUUUCCGUUAAAAUGUAUUAUUGAAAAUAUGCACACUCGUGUUAUCCAACACCACGAGGUAGGCUGACUCAUUAAGAAACAUUGAAGUUUACACUCGACUAUGCACACACUUGUAUUGGCCAAUACUACGACUUAUGAACAACUCGCUACACGAAUUGAUAUUCACACUGAACUAUGCACCAUAACCUAUUGCCCAACACUACGGCGUUAAACACUAGCACCGCGCACUAAUUAAACGAGGUCCCACAUGAUGAUGAGUAAAGAGCUUCGAGAGGUAAAAACAGGAUGCUGUUUGAUAUGGACUCUGUCUGGUACCACAAUGGAUCAAUGGUCCUUCGGUCGAGCGGACUGUAUUAUUAAAACUAAUUUUACACCAUAAUAGAAUAUGAUAUGAAUAUGAAAAUUUUGAUGCUCUGUUGGAAUCGCAAAGUACAUGAAUAGAGGUUUCCAAAUUGUGUUGUGACUUUAGCAAAUAUGCAUUCAAAAUUAAAAAAAUUAUUAAAGUAAUUUAUUUUAAAAUA